rnacentral:misc_RNA from 1 species
UCUGGUUUGUCACCGGCAGUCUCAUUAGAGUGCCCUUUCGUAGCAACUAAUGACAAGGGUUGCGCUCGUUGCGGGACUUAACCCAACAUCUCACGACACGAGCUGACGACGGCCAUGCAGCACCUGUGUGUCGGCUCCCUUUCGGGCACCCCCACAUCUCUGCAGGGUUCCGACCAUGUCAAGGGUAGGUAAGGUUAUUCGCGUUGCAUCGAAUUAAUCCACAUCAUCCACCGCUUGUGCGGGUCCCCGUCAAUUCCUUUGAGUUUUAAUCUUGCGACCGUACUCCCCAGGCGGUCAACUUCACGCGUUAGCUGCGGUACUAGGAAAUCGCUUCCCCAACACCUAGUUGACAUCGUUUAGGGCGUGGACUAC